rnacentral:snoRNA from 1 species
GCCUUGUGGUUCCUAGAGUCGGCUCCAAAGUGCCGAGCUGUAGGUUUUUAAUUGACGGGCGCAUAUGAACUUCUGCGAUUUUAUGCAUGGAACCUGCAGCUACAGCAGCGCUCCAUAGCCCGGUUGCAGAUACACUC